rnacentral:rRNA from 1 species
UACGGGGGGAGCAAGCGUUUGUUCGGAUUUACUGGGCGUAAAGGGCGCGUAGGCGGCCACCGCAAGUCAAUUGUGAAAUCUCCGGGCUUAACUCGGAACGGUCAAGUGAUACUGUCGUGCUAGAGUACAGAAGGGGCAACUGGAAUUCUCGGUGUAGCGGUGAAAUGCGCAGAUAUCAGGAAGAACACCAAUGCGAAGGCAGCUCUCUGGGACGGUACUGACGCUGAGACGCGAAAGCGUGGGGAGCGAACAGG